rnacentral:rRNA from 1 species
CCUACGGGGGGCAGCAGUGAGGAAUAUUGGUCAAUGGACGAGAGUCUGAACCAGCCAAGUCGCGUGAAGGAUGACUGCUCUAUGGGUUGUAAACUUCUUUUAUAUGGGAAUAAAAUGAUCCACGUGUGGGAUUUUGUAUGUAUCAUAUGAAUAAGGAUCGGCUAACUCCGUGCCAGCAGCCGCGGUAAUACGGAGGAUCCGAGCGUUAUCCGGAUUUAUUGGGUUUAAAGGGAGCGUAGGUGGAUUGUUAAGUCAGAUGUGAAAGUUUGCGGCUCAACUGUAAAAUUGCAGUUGAUACUGGCAGUCUAGAGUACAGUAGAGGUAGGCGGAAUUCGUGGUGUAGCGGUGAAAUGCUUAGAUAUCACGAAGAACUCCGAUUGCGAAGGCAGCUCACUGGAC